CUUUAUUGGAGAGUUUGAUCCUGGCUCAGGAUGAACGCUGGCGGCGUGCCUAAUACAUGCAAGUCGAGCGAAUGGAUUAAGAGCUUGCUCUUAUGAAGUUAGCGGCGGACGGGUGAGUAACACGUGGGUAACCUGCCCAUAAGACUGGGAUAACUCCGGGAAACCGGGGCUAAUACCGGAUAACAUUUUGAACCGCAUGGUUCGAAAUUGAAAGGCGGCUUCGGCUGUCACUUAUGGAUGGACCCGCGUCGCAUUAGCU
rnacentral:rRNA from 1 species